rnacentral:lncRNA from 1 species
UUCGGGUGUUGUGUUGUUGUGAUCCCAUGUUGAGUUCGGGUGUUGUGUUGUUGCGAUCCCACGUUGUGUUCAGGUGUUGCGUUGCGAUCCCACGUUGUGUUCGGGUGUUGCUGUGUUGGGAUCCGAUGUUACACUGUUGGGAUGGGGCGUUGUGUCAGGAUCCGAUGCCGCCUUCAAGCGUCGCACUGUUGGGAUGGGGUGUUGCUGUGUCGGGAUCCGAUGUGACGCUGUUGGGAU